GCCGAUGUGGUGGAAUUGGUAGACACGCUAUCUUGAGGGGGUAGUGGCGUGAGCCGUGCCGGUUCAAAUCCGGCCAUCGGUACCA
rnacentral:tRNA from 1 species